rfam:Oryza sativa Japonica Group DNA, chromosome 4, cultivar: Nipponbare, complete sequence.
AACCACACUAUCAAUGAACGGAUUCACCCGCGAGAUGAUGUGGCUCUUUCACAUAGGACGAGGACAUGAUAUCCUAUUACCAGCCAUCUCACGAAAUUAAUAGGAUAUACCACGUCAUCAUCCUAGGUGGAGCAACCACGUCAUCUCACGGGUGAAUCCAUUCAUCGAUAGUAUGGUU